rnacentral:rRNA from 1 species
UCCGGUUGAUCCUGCCGGACCUGACUGCUAUCGGAUUGAUACUAAGCCAUGCGAGUCAUUGUAGCAAUACAAGCAUACGGCUCAGUAACGCGUAGUCACCUAACCUAUGGACGGGAUAACCUCGGGAACUGAGAAUAAUACCAGAUAGAACAUUAUACCUGGAAUGGUCUAUGUUUCAAAUAAUUUAUUGCCGUAAGAUGGGACUGCGGCCUAUCAGUUUGUUGGUGAGGUAAUGGCCCACCAAGACUAUUACAGGUACGGGCUCUGAGAGGAGUAGCCCGGAGAUGGGUACUGAGACACGGACCCAGGCCCUAUGGGGCGCAGCAGGCGAGAAAACUUUGCAAUGUGCGAAAGCACGACAAGGUUAAUCCGAGUGGUUUCUGCUAAAGGAACCUUUUGUUAGUCAUAGAACCACUAAUGAAUAAGGGGUGGGCAAGUUCUGGUGUCAGCCGCCGCGGUAAAACCAGCACCUCAAGUGGUCAGGAUGAUUAUUGGGCCUAAAGCAUCCGUAGCCGGCUUUGUCAGUUUUCGGUUAAAUCCAUACGCUCAACGUAUGGGCUGCCGGGAAUACUACAAGGCUAGGGAGUGGGAGAGGUAGACGGUACUCGGUAGGAAGGGGUAAAAUCCUUUGAUCUAUUGAUGACCACCUGUGGCGAAGGCGGUCUACCAGAACACGUCCGACGGUGAGGGAUGAAAGCUGGGGGAGCAAACCGGAUUAGAUACCCGGGUAGUCCCAGCUGUAAACUAUGCAAACUCGGUGAUGCAUUGGCUUGAUGCCAAUGCAGUGCCGCAGGGAAGCCGUUAAGUUUGCCGCCUGGGAAGUACGUACGCAAGUAUGAAACUUAAAGGGAAUUGGCGGGGGAGCACCACAAGGGGUGAAGCCUGCGGUUCAAUUGGAUUCAACGCCGGG